rnacentral:lncRNA from 1 species
AUGAUCCAAUUGGAGCUAUGGGACUUCGUUAGAACCUAUCAUCACAUUAGCAUCACCAAUAUGUCAAUUCACAUACUUAUAAAGUCUAAAAGCUUUCUCUUAGCUAGCUUCCACUUGCCAUUUAAGUGGCUAUCUAUAUUCACUAUUUUAACCACUCUGAAAUGAAUGAACACCCUACUACAAAACAUUCACAAGCUUAAUCAUCAGCCAUCCUCAACACUUAGAAUUAACUUUAAUUUACUACUCACCUUAAUGGCUUUGUAAAUUGAAAUUCCUUCCAACAAUUCGCAAGCUAUUAUGGAAGUUCUUUCUUUCUCUCUCUAAACACCUAACUAGUGAGAGAAAGUAUGAAAGUGGGAUUUUUCAAGGGUUUUAAAGUGAGAAAGUGAAAGAGCACAAGGGUUUUAUGCCAAAGUGCACAAAGGUAUGAAAAUUAGAGCUAGAGAAUGAAAGGUUACAUAAGUUUCAUAUCAAGC